rnacentral:rRNA from 1 species
GAUGAACGCUGGCGGCGUGCCUAAUACAUGCAAGUCGAGCGAACAGACGAGGAGCUUGCUCCUCUGACGUUAGCGGCGGACGGGUGAGUAACACGUGGAUAACCUACCUAUAAGACUGGGAUAACUUCGGGAAACCGGAGCUAAUACCGGAUAACAUGUUGAACCGCAUGGUUUAACAGUGAAAGACGGUCUUGCUGUCACUUAUAGAUGGAUCCGCGCCGCAUUAGCUAGUUGGUAAGGUAACGGCUUACCAAGGCAACGAUGCGUAGCCGACCUGAGAGGGUGAUCAGCCACACUGGAACUGAGACACGGUCCAGACUCCUACGGGAGGCAGCAGUAGGGAAUCUUCCGCAAUGGGCGAAAGCCUGACGGAGCAACGCCGCGUGAGUGAAGAAGGUCUUCGGAUCGUAAAACUCUGUUAUUAGGGAAGAACAAAUGUGUAAGUAACUAUGCACGUCUUGACGGUACCUAAUCAGAAAGCCACGGCUAACUACGUG